UACGUAUGGUGCGAGCGUUGUCCGGAUUUACUGGGCGUGAAGGGGGCGCAGGCGGCGCGCCAAGCCCGAUGUGAAAGCCCGGGGCUCAACCCCGGGACUGCAUUGGGAACUGGCGUGCUGGAGUGCCGGAGGGGCAGGCGGAAUUCCUGGUGUAGCGGUGAAAUGCGUAGAUAUCAGGAGGAACACCGGUGGCGAAGGCGGCCUGCUGGACGGCAACUGACGCUGAGGCUCGAAAGCGUGGGGAGCAAACAGG
rnacentral:rRNA from 1 species